CAAAUUAAAGCUUUAUAGAAAAGUUUUUCAUUUACACUGAAAAGAGGUUGUGCAAAUCAAUAUAAUUUGA
rnacentral:tRNA from 1 species